UCUGAAUCUGCGAACGGCUCCGCAAACCAGUUGUAAACUAGAGCAAGCUAGUCUGGCGGGCUUCGGCCUCCAGGCGAUAUGGAUAACCCUGGUAAUUCUGAGGCUAAUACAGGACCGCAAAACCGGGCAGCCCAGCAAUGGAUGCCCGGGGCUGUGCGAUAUGGCUUGACAAUGACCGGGAAAGGACGCACACUCAGACCGCGCUACAAAGGAUCGGGACUCCCCUCGGGGAACCCGGCCCCAGCGGCUCUUGCUGUGUGCUUCUGACCUAUCAACUAGACGGCAGCGUAAUGGACAUGCUAUGGU
rnacentral:rRNA from 1 species